rnacentral:rRNA from 1 species
GCGGCGUGGAUAAGACAUGCAAGUCGAACGGGAGAAUUGCUAGCUUGCUAAUAAUUCUCUAGUGGCGCACGGGUGAGUAACACGUGAGUAACCUGCCUCUUAGUGGGGGAUAGCCCUGGGAAACCGGGAUUAAUACCGCAUACGAUUGAAAGAUCAAAGCAGCAAUGCGCUAGGAGAUGGGCUCGCGGCCUAUUAGUUAGUUGGUGAGGUAACGGCUCACCAAGGCGAUGACGGGUAGCCGGUCUGAGAGGAUGUCCGGCCACACUGGAACUGAGACACGGUCCAGACACCUACGGGUGGCAGCAGUCGAGAAUCAUUCACAAUGGGGGCAACCCUGAUGGUGCGACGCCGCGUGGGGGAAUGAAGGUCUUCGGAUUGUAAACCCCUGUCAUGUGGGAGCAAAUUAAAAAGAUAGUACCACAAGAGGAAGAGACGGCUAACUCUGUGCCAGCAGCCGCGGUAAUACAGAGGUCUCAAGCGUUGUUCGGAAUCACUGGGCGUAAAGCGUGCGUAGGCUGUUUCGUAAGUCGUGUGUGAAAGGCAGGGGCUCAACCCCUGGAUUGCACAUGAUACUGCGAGACUAGAGUAAUGGAGGGGGAACCGGAAUUCUCGGUGUAGCAGUGAAAUGCGUAGAUAUCGAGAGGAACACUCGUGGCGAAGGCGGGUUCCUGGACAUUAACUGACGCUGAGGCACGAAGGCUAGGGGAGCGAAAGGGAUUAGAUACCCCUGUAGUCCUGGCAGUAAACGGUGCACGCUUGGUGUGCGGGGAAUCGACCCCCUGCGUGCCGGAGCUAACGCGUUAAGCGUGCCGCCUGGGGAGUACGGUCGCAAGAUUAAAACUCAAAGAAAUUGACGGGGACCCGCACAAGCGGUGGAGUAUGUGGCUUAAUUCGAUGCAACGCGAAGAACCUUACCUGGGCUUGACAUGUAAUGAACAACAUGUGAAAGCAUGCGACUCUUCGGAGGCGUUACACAGGUGCUGCAUGGCCGUCGUCAGCUCGUGUCGUGAGAUGUUUGGUUAAGUCCAGCAACGAGCGCAACCCCUGUUGCCAGUUACCAGCACGUCAAGGUGGGGACUCUGGCGAGACUGCCCAGAUCAACUGGGAGGAAGGUGGGGACGACGUCAGGUCAGUAUGGCCCUUAUGCCCAGGGCUGCACACGUACUACAAUGCCCAGUACAGAGGGGGCCGAAGCCGCGAGGCGGAGGAAAUCCUGAAAACUGGGCCCAGUUCGGACUGUAGGCUGCAACCCGCCUACACGAAGCCGGAAUCGCUAGUAAUGGCGCAUCAGCUACGGCGCCGUGAAUACGUUCCCGGGUCUUGUACACACCGCCCGUCACAUCAUGGAAGCCGGUCGCACCCGAAGUAUCUGAAGCCAACCGCAAGGAGGCAGGGUCCUAAGGUGAGACUGGUAACUGGGAUGAAGUC